AACGAACGCUGGCGGCAGGCUUAACACAUGCAAGUCGAGCGCCCCGCAAGGGGAGCGGCAGACGGGUGAGUAACGCGUGGGAAUCUACCCAUCUCUACGGAAUAACGCAUGGAAACGUGUGCUAAUACCGUAUACGUCCUUCGGGAGAAAGAUUUAUCGGAGAUGGAUGAGCCCGCGUUGGAUUAGCUAGUUGGUGGGGUAAAGGCCUACCAAGGCGACGAUCCAUAGCUGGUCUGAGAGGAUGAUCAGCCACACUGGGACUGAGACACGGCCCAGACUCCUACGGGAGGCAGCAGUGGGGAAUAUUGGACAAUGGGCGCAAGCCUGAUCCAGCCAUGCCGCGUGAGUGAUGAAGGCCCUAGGGUUGUAAAGCUCUUUCACCGGUGAAGAUAAUGACGGUAACCGGAGAAGAAGCCCUGGCUAACUUCGUGCCAGCCGCCGCGGUAA
rnacentral:rRNA from 2 species